UACGUAGGGCGCAAGCGUUAUCCGGAAUUAUUGGGCGUAAAGAGCUCGUAGGCGGUUUGUCGCGUCUGCCGUGAAAAUCCGGGGCUCAACCCCGGACCUGCAUCCGAUACUGCGUGACUAGAGGUAGGUAGGGGGAGAUCGGAAUUCCUGGUGUAGCGGUGAAAUGCGCAGAUAUCAGGAGGAACACCGGUGGCGAAGGCGGGAUCUCUGGGCCUUACCUGACGCUGAGGCGCGAAAGCUAGGGGAGCAAACAGG
rnacentral:rRNA from 1 species